rnacentral:tRNA from 1 species
AUCUGAGUAGCUUAAAUUUAAAGCUUAACAUUGAAGCUGUUAAUAUAAGAGUAAUAUCUUCUUAGAUA